rnacentral:rRNA from 1 species
UUAAAGAGUCUACAACCCGAACAAACCCGAUCUUGUCUGAUCUUGGAAGCUAAGCAGGGUCGGGAGUGGUUAGUACUUGGAUGGGAGACUACCUCGGAAGACCAGGUGCUGUAGGUG